rnacentral:lncRNA from 1 species
GGCUUCAUAGUAGCCUGAAAAUCACCAACUACGAUUCCCCCUCCUUCCUUUAUGCACCAAAAAUCAUAGAGAGUUUAUUUCAGCUGCAAUCUGGACCCCAAGAGGUAAGCUCAACUUAAACUUCUCCAUUUUCUUCUUGAGUUCGGCCUGCAAUGGUUAAGCAAAAUCCACAAUUAUGUUUCAGUUUAUUCAUUCCUGAAUUCAUUAGCACAGCAGCCAACCAAGCACAAAAAAACACAGGUGAUUGCUAAUCUCAUUUUACUCUAGUUCAUGCUAUAUGAUUUACACCAACAUGAUUUUCACAAAAGAUUAACUUACGAAAUCCAAAUACCCAACUGUUUCUAUUAAAGAAAUACCUUGACCAAUGCACCAAAAAUCAAAUUUGCAGCAAUACCCAAUUGUUUCUAUUAACUUACGAAAUCCAAAUACCCAACUGUUUCUAUUAAAGAAAUACCUUGACCAAUGCACCAAAAAUCAAAUCUUUACAAAUCCGAGAAUUUCAUUUUGCUGUUUUGGUUUGGGAAUGAGUGAAGAGAAGAGGGGGAGGUUGUCGGAGGCCCGAUGCCGGGCUGACGAUGAUGCGGCGGCCGGCGCCGCAUGAGUGGUGGCAGCCCGUGGCUGCUCACGGUGAAGGCAGGCGAGGCGGCGCGGUUUGAGGCAGGACGGUGCAAGGCGGCACCCGACGCCGCUAAACUCGGCCGAAGCAGGCGAGCGGCGGCGGUGGCGUUUCCUCCAUGGCCGUCUGCCUUCGGACACGGGCGCGAGAAUGGGGGAGGCAGAUGGGAGGAUGGUGAGAGAGAGAGAGAGAGAGAGCCGAGCACUGUUGUGAGAAAGAGAGAGAUGCAAUGUUGAUAAAUUAAGAGAUAGUGUGUGCUGCUUUAUAUAAAAAAAGAGGGGAGUCUCGAUAAAUAGAGAGAACCGAUGAU